rnacentral:misc_RNA from 1 species
AAACUUGAAUCCUGAUAAAAUUUAUGAACUAGUCCAGGGGAUUGGUGUAAAAUGUGGUAAUACUGCUCCACAAAGGCAUUGCCCACAACUUCGGCACUUGGAGCAGGAGUUGUUUCCUGCAUUGCCAUCUGAUUUGUUGGUGUUUGAUUUUGGUUUUUGGAGAUAGAGAUUAGGGAGAUCUACUAGGAGGAUUAAUAAGAAGAAGAAGAAGAAAGAAGAUAGAAAGUAUGCGUACGAAUCAAGGGAAGAGAAAGGAAAGGACGAAGCAAAGAUACACUUUGUAUGUGUGUGUGUGUGUGUGAGAGAGAGAGA